rnacentral:rRNA from 1 species
GAUGAACGCUGGCGGCAGGCUUAACACAUGCAAGUCGAGCGCGCCCUUCGGGGUGAGCGGCGGACGGGUGAGUAACGCGUGGGAACGUGCCCUCUUCUGCGGGAUAGCCUCUGGAAACGGAGAGUAAUACCGCAUACGCCCUAUUGGGGAAAGAUUUAUCGGAGGAGGGUCGGCCCGCGUUGGAUUAGGUAGUUGGUGGGGUAAUGGCCUACCAAGCCGACGAUCCAUAGCUGGUUUUAGAGGAUGAUCAGCCACACUGGGACUGAGACACGGCCCAGACUCCUACGGGAGGCAGCAGUGGGGAAUCUUAGACAAUGGGCGCAAGCCUGAUCUAGCCAUGCCGCGUGAGUGACGAAGGCCCUAGGGUCGUAAAGGCUCUUUCGCCUGUGAAGAUAAUGACGGGUAGC